AGUCAUUAAAAACUCAUUCAACUUUGAGGCUUUUGGUUGAUUUUCCCAGUUGAGCUGAGGCCAUGGAGACAAGAGGACAUCUGUGGACAGGAAGCCAGGCCAACAAGGCAGCCCAGAAAGCAGAAGACAGAGCCAUGUGUUCACUGGCCCAGGAGUGACAGCCUACUACACAGAUCGGAGGAAACAAAUGUGAAGAUGUUCAAAAAUCCAAAGCCAAGACGAAGGGGCUAUUCUCAACCUAUUGACCACAUCACAAGAAUGAAGACCCAGAUGACCACACCCCGGCCUCUUCUUCACAGAAAUAACUCAUGAAAUACCAUAUCCUCUAUAAACUCUUUCCUCUUUCAGAAAACUGC
rnacentral:lncRNA from 1 species